ACGAACGCUGGCGGCGUGCUUCACACCUGCAAGUCGAACGGAAAGGCCCUGCUUGCCGGGUGCUCGAGUGGCGAACGGGUGAGUAACACGUGGGUGAUCUGCCCCUUACUUUGGGAUAAGCCUGGGAAACUGGGUCUAAUACUGGAUAGGACCAUGCUGUAGGUGGUGUGGUGGAAAGAUUAGUUUCGGUAAGGGAUGAGCUCGCGGCCUAUCAGCUUGUUGGUGGGGUAAUGGCCUACCAAGGCGUCGACGGGUAGCCGGCCUGAGAGGGUGGACGGCCACAUUGGGACUGAGAUACGGCCCAGACUCCUACGGGAGGCAGCAGUGGGGAAUAUUGCACAAUGGGCGCAAGCCUGAUGCAGCGACGCCGCGGGGGGGAUGACGGCCUUCGGGUUGUAAACUCCUUUCAGCCAUGACGAAGCCCUUGUGGUGACGGUAGUGGUAGAGGAAGCACCGGCUAACUACGUG
rnacentral:rRNA from 1 species